UGCCACACACACACAUUCAAGCAAAGAAAUACACUACAAAGACACUCCUCUUUCCACCAUACUGAGCAUAUGAGUUGGCAGCAUGCACAUUGAUGUGGGCUGGUGUGGAUAAAAUGCCUGGGCCGAAUUCUUGUCCUAGCCAGCCCAUGCCACACAGGGAAAAUAAAUGGGCUCCAGGAGCAGCAAGUCUGUGACAACCUGAUAAAACGUUAUAGCGUGCAAAGCUCCUUGGGGAUCCGUUGUCUCUAUAUUAGAAAACACAUGUCAUGUUGUCUUGUCUCUGUCCUUUCCCUUCACCCUGUCUCCCUCUGCUGGUCGUUGUUAUGUUACCUUUUCUCCCCCUCUUUUCCCCAGCUGUGCCUUGUCUCCUCCUAAUUACCCAUUCACCCCGUUCCCCACCUGUUCCCUUUUUCCCUCUGAUUAGGUCCCUAUAUCUGUCUCUGUUUCUGCUCCUGUCCUUGUCGGAUUCUUGUUUGUUUGUUUAUGUGUCUCAUGCCUGAACCAGACUAUCAUCGUGUGUGCUGCAACCUUGUCCUGUCCUGUCGGAAUCUACCUGUCCAUCUGAGCCCACGUAUGUUCGUCAUUAAAGUACUCUGUUUGUUAAUUCGCUUUUGGGUCCCUAUAUCUGUCUCUGUUUCUGCUCCUGUCCUUGUCGGAUUCUUGUUUGUUUGUUUAUGUGUCUCAUGCCUGAACCAGACUAUCAUCGUGUGUGCUGCAACCUUGUCCUGUCCUGUCGGAAUCUACCUGUCCAUCUGAGCCCACGUAUGUUCGUCAUUAAAGUACUCUGUUUGUUAAUUCGCUUUUGGGUCCUCAUUCACGCACCAUAACAACACACUCUCUCUGCCUGACUAUUGCUGCCUUGUUCAACCUAUAUUAGAGUGGCCUCCAUACUGAAUGUAUGUUUCUGCAUAAUGCAGAGGAGUGGACAGUCUCGUGUCUGCUGUAACCUCUGAAUUGUAUUUGUCUAAUUAUGUAACAAAUGGCUGUUAAUGAUUAUUGUCUAGAAUUGAUCAUUCAAAUGAAAUGUAGGUAGGUUUUUUUUUGUCCAGUGGAGAGAUUUGCCAUGAUAUUUCACACACAUUCUGUGUUACAGCCUGAAACAAUGAUCUUGAAAUAGGAUUUCUGUGUAGGCGACUAACAAGCAUGUAUCAUGUCAAAGCCCACUGUUUCCUGCCUGUGGCAUUCUCACCUUUAGCUGCAUGCUCAAACAGACACAUAGAGGGUCAUAUGCCUUCCGUAAAUAUGCUUUGAAACUUGAAACUCAUAGGCCAUAAUAUGAUUUAUUUUAGAAAAAUAUACUAUCAGUAGCAUUACCAUUAUAUAGCCUAUGUCAUCAUCACUUGAUGGUGAUUGUGUAGGGUUUUAGUAGCAUAAUGGGGAAUGGGGUUGUGAACACGGCUGAUGCUGGCUAUUGUUCAGCCAGUC
rnacentral:lncRNA from 13 species